AUUGUAGUUUGAUGAAUUUGAAAUGAAUGUGAUGUGCACGUCCGCAUUCCACCAACUGAUGUUAGUAAUUUACAAUUCUAUUUUGGCCAUGCAAAUAGUGUGAUUCUCUCGAUGGAGAUUGAACUAGACCAUUAUGGACAUAACGUACUUAAUAUUAUAGUUCCCAAGUGCCAAACAAUUCCAUGUUAAUGGAUGUGAUCCCGCAUCCAGGAUCAUUUGCUC
rnacentral:lncRNA from 1 species